rnacentral:tRNA from 3 species
GGGGAGAUACCAAAGCGGCCAACUGGGGCAGACUGUAAAUCUGUUGUCUUACGACUUCGCAGGUUCGAAUCCUGCUCUCCCCA